rnacentral:lncRNA from 1 species
GGCGUCACAUAAAAGCCCUUUUCAAACCCUAAGUUAGUCUUAUAUACCGUAACUUAAGUUUAAAGUUAGGGUUCCAUGUGCUAUUGUUCUUCUCUCUAUUUCACGGCUUUGAUGUUUGACGUUUCUCCUGAUAUUUUUGUUCACUAGUAAGUACUCUGUUUUGCACUUUGGUUCUAAACUUGUAUUCUAUCUAUACCUAUAUUUUUGCACUAUAUUUUUUGCCUUCACA